CAGCCGCAACCCCUUGACCUUGUCCAGCAUCACGCCCCGGUGCCAGGGAGACAGACCGAAGAAUCCCACCACUGUGCAGGAGAGGAAGCCUACUUUAAUUCUGUUCUUGAAGUAAUGGCAGGUGAAGAUUCGUAUGUCAUAAUUAAUUCCUCACUUCUUAGGAAUCGCAGCGAUUAGCUCUGUCAUUCCUUUGUUAUCAGAAAGAACUGUGAGUCCUGUUAUUCUCCCUGCUUCGCCAUCUGUGAGCAUGCGCAGCCCUCGGCUAAGUUUUCUAAAAGGAACAUCACAGCGACUUCCCUGACCUCAGCCAGGACAAAAGAGGGAGAAGAGGAAUGAAAAGCACAGGAAAACGGGCCAAGG
rnacentral:lncRNA from 1 species